AACUAUCCCCGUACGGAUAUUGGGCGUAAGAGCUCGUAGGCGGUUUGUCGCGUCUGCUGUGAAAGACCGGGGCUCAACUCCGGUUCUGCAGUGGGUACGGGCAGACUAGAGUGCAGUAGGGGAGACUGGAAUUCCUGGUGUAGCGGUGAAAUGCGCAGAUAUCAGGAGGAACACCGAUGGCGAAGGCAGGUCUCUGGGCUGUAACUGACGCUGAGGAGCGAAAGCAUGGGGAGCGAACAGGAUUAGAUACCCUGGUAGUCCAUGCCGUAAACGUUGGGCACUAGGUGUGGGGGACAUUCCACGUUUUCCGCGCCGUAGCUAACGCAUUAAGUGCCCCGCCUGGGGAGUACGGCCGCAAGGCUAAAACUCAAAGGAAUUGACGGGGGCCCGCACAAGCGGCGGAGCAUGCGGAUUAAUUCGAUGCAACGCGAAGAACCUUACCAAGGCUUGACAUGAACCGGUAAUACCUGGAAACAGGUGCCCCGCUUGCGGUCGGUUUACAGGUGGUGCAUGGUUGUCGUCAGCUCGUGUCGUGAGAUGUUGGGUUAAGUCCCGCAACGAGCGCAACCCUCGUUCUAUGUUGCCAGCGGUUCGGCCGGGGACUCAUAGGAGACUGCCGGGGUCAACUCGGAGGAAGGUGGGGACGACGUCAAAUCAUCAUGCCCCUUAUGUCUUGGGCUUCACGCAUGCUACAAUGGCCGGUACAAAGGGUUGCGAUACUGUGAGGUGGAGCUAAUCCCAAAAAGCCGGUCUCAGUUCGGAUUGGGGUCUGCAACUCGACCCCAUGAAGUCGGAGUCGCUAGUAAUCGCAGAUCAGCAACGCUGCGGUGAAUACGUUCCCGGGCCUUGUACACACCGCCCGUCAAGUCACGAAAGUUGGUAACACCCGAAGCCGGUGGCCUAACCCUUGUGGGGGGAGCCGUCGAAGGUGGGACCGGCGAUUGGGACUAAGUCGUA
rnacentral:rRNA from 1 species